rnacentral:rRNA from 1 species
UACGUAGGGGGCUAGCGUUGUCCGGAAUCAUUGGGCGUAAAGAGCGUGUAGGCGGCCCGGUAAGUCCGCUGUAAAAGUCAAAGGCUCAACCUUUGAAUGUCAGUGGAUACUGCCGGGCUAGAGUCCGGAAGAGGCGAGUGGAAUUCCUGGUGUAGCGGUGAAAUGCGCAGAUAUCAGGAGGAACACCAAUUGCGAAGGCAGCUCGCUGGGACGUCACUGACGCUGAGACGCGAAAGCGUGGGGAGCAAACAGG